GAGGUCCUCUGCCGCGUGUUUGGAAGUUAUGGCCGCGCCGGUCCGUGGUGCUCUUCGUGAAAGGCCUAGGCUUUGGGUGAUGGCGCGCCUUAGGCACUCGGGAGACGAGACGCAGGUUCUGUCCCAGAAGCAAUGGCUGGAUCCUUCCUGAAAGCCAUCGAUGUGACCCCGGCAGAAGGCAUAGGUAGACGGUGGGCAUCUGCCCCAGACAUAGUUCUCAAGUUCAGCCAGAAGAAUGCGCGUUGAGCCCUCCGUCCCUUUCGAUGGAGGUGUUGUCUCCAGGAAGCAUCGUCGAAAGGUGUGGUGCACAAGGGCCUUCAGGAUGCCUCUGCCUGGUGUUGGCUGCGCCUCAGUUUCUGGGCCUGCAAGUGGUGUUGAUGCAGCCUCACAGGCGCCAAGCAGUCCCACACUUGGAUUUUCUCCUGGACUCAGGAUGCCUGUGAGCAGAAGAGCUGGCACAGAGGAGCAUCCGUGCCGACCAGGCCUGCACCCUGGCUGAGGGGUGUGCUAAGUGCAGGCAAGUUUCAGCAGGGUUUCGCUUGUUCCCUUGUUACUGAUUGAGCUGAGGAUGAUUUAAGUUAUCCCUGUCUGAAAUGACACUUUUGUGAAGAGUCAUGGUUUACUGAGGCUCGACUUUUUGAGGCCUGUUUGAGAAUGACCACAGUAAGGUUGCUUCUGUUAGAGUGAAGUGUGUUGUCUUUAUUGCUCACUCAGAUUCCCAGUCGGCGCAGAAUCAUCGUGGAAAGGGAUGUCUGUACCUGGUUAUUGCCCUGUAGUGCCAGAGAGAACCACAUAGCCUGCUGCUGCUCCUGCCUUUAAUUUCCCAGAGUCAUCAGACGACCUUGGAGUUUGUUCUGCAAGAGGAGCCAGUAAGGCCUCGUGACUGGUCACCCUCAGAAGCCUUUGACAGCUAGCUGGUGAGGGCGCUCGGUCAGAGGCCCUGGGGAGGCCCCUGCUGAGCCGGGAAAAGCAUUUCUCACAGUGGAUUUCCUGGGAAGUCGGGGUGGGCUUUGUACUU